AAGCAUAUAAAUAAGCGGAGGAAAAGAAACUAACUAGGAUUGGUAUAGUAACGGCGAGUGAAGUACCAUCAGCCCAGCCUGUGAAUUGACACUUGUGUUGAAUUGUGGAAUAAUUGGUCUACCCAACCUGUGAGCCAAGUCCUCUGGAAUGGGGCAGCAUAGAGGGUGAGACUCCCGUACGCUUGCAAGUGUGAGGACCAAUUGGAGAGUCGAGUUGUUUGGGAUUGCAGCUCUAAGUGGGUGGUAAAUUCCAUCCAAGGCUAAAUACCUGUGAGAGACCGAUAGUAUACAAGUACCGUGAGGGAAAGAUGCAAAGCCGCGCGAGAGCGCUGUCAAAGAGUACCUGAAAUUGCUGAAAUGGAAGCAAAGGAAACCAGUGUCUGCCAUACCGCACUUCCCGGACUGCUUGCAGUUUGGGCGCUGCGGCUGGUGUUGUUUGUCUUCUUGGUUGGCAGUGUAGGAUAAAUAUGCUGCGAACCAAGUAUUUCAAACAAAAUGGUUUUCUUUUCCCCGUCUUGAAA
rnacentral:rRNA from 1 species